rnacentral:rRNA from 1 species
UUAAGUUAGAAAGGGCGCACGGUGGAUGCCUUGGCACUAGGAGCCGAUGAAGGACGGGACGAACACCGAUAUGCUUCGGGGAGCUGUAAGCAAGCUUUGAUCCGGAGAUUUCCGAAUGGGGAAACCCACCACUCGUAAUGGAGUGGUAUCCAUAUCUGAAUACAUAGGAUAUGAGAAGGCAGACCCGGGGAACUGAAACAUCUAAGUACCCGGAGGAAGAGAAAGCAAAUGCGAUUCCCUGAGUAGCGGCGAGCGAAACGGGAUCAGCCCAAACCAAGAGGCUUGCCUCUUGGGGUUGUAGGACACUCUGUACGGAGUUACAAAGGAACGAGGUAGAUGAAGAGGUCUGGAAAGGCCCGCCAUAGGAGGUAACAGCCCUGUAGUCAAAACUUCGUUCUCUCCUGAGUGGAUCCUGAGUACGGCGGAACACGUGAAAUUCCGUCGGAAUCCGGGAGGACCAUCUCCCAAGGCUAAAUACUCCCUAGUGACCGAUAGUGAACCAGUACCGUGAGGGAAAGGUGAAAAGCACCCCGGAAGGGGAGUGAAAGAGAUCCUGAAACCGUGUGCCUACAAGUAGUCAGAGCCCGUUAACGGGUGAUGGCGUGCCUUUUGUAGAAUGAACCGGCGAGUUACGAUCCCGUGCAAGGUUAAGCAGAAGAUGCGGAGCCGCAGCGAAAGCGAGUCUGAAUAGGGCGAAUUGAGUACGUGGUCGUAGACCCGAAACCAGGUGAUCUACCCAUGUCCAGGGUGAAGUUCAGGUAACACUGAAUGGAGGCCCGAACCCACGCACGUUGAAAAGUGCGGGGAUGAGGUGUGGGUAGGGGUGAAAUGCCAAUCGAACCUGGAGAUAGCUGGUUCUCUCCGAAAUAGCUUUAGGGCUAGCCUCAAGGUAAGAGUCUCGGAGGUAGAGCACUGAUUGGACUAGGGGCCCCUACCGGGUUACCGAAUUCAGUCAAACUCCGAAUGCCGAUGACUUAUCCUUGGGAGUCAGACUGCGAGUGAUAAGAUCCGUAGUCGAAAGGGAAACAGCCCAGACCGCCAGCUAAGGUCCCAAAGUAUACGUUAAGUGGAAAAGGAUGUGGAGUUGCUUAGACAACCAGGAUGUUGGCUUAGAAGCAGCCACCAUUUAAAGAGUGCGUAAUAGCUCACUGGUCGAGUGACUCUGCGCCGAAAAUGUACCGGGGCUAAACGUAUCACCGAAGCUGCGGACUGUUCUUCGAACAGUGGUAGGAGAGCGUUCUAAGGGCUGUGAAGCAAGACCGGAAGGACUUGUGGAGCGCUUAGAAGUGAGAAUGCCGGUAUGAGUAGCGAAAGAGGGGUGAGAAUCCCCUCCACCAAAUGCCUAAGGUUUCCUGAGGAAGGCUCGUCCGCUCAGGGUUAGUCGGGACCUAAGCCGAGGCCGAAAGGCGUAGGCGAUGGAUAACAGGUUGAUAUUCCUGUACCACCUCCUCACCAUUUGAGCAAUGGGGGGACGCAGGAGGAUAGGGUAAGCGCGGUAUUGGAUAUCCGCGUCCAAGCAGUUAGGCUGGGAAAUAGGCAAAUCCGUUUCCCGUGAAGGCUGAGCUGUGAUGGCGAGCGAAUUAUAGUAGCGAAGUUCCUGAUUCCACACUGCCAAGAAAAGCCUCUAGCGAGGUGAGAGGUGCCCGUACCGCAAACCGACACAGGUAGGCGAGGAGAGAAUCCUAAGGUGAUCGAGAGAACUCUCGUUAAGGAACUCGGCAAAAUGACCCCGUAACUUCGGGAGAAGGGGUGCUCUGUUAGGGUGCAAGCCCGAGAGAGCCGCAGUGAAUAGGCCCAGGCGACUGUUUAGCAAAAACACAGGUCUCUGCGAAGCCGUAAGGCGAAGUAUAGGGGCUGACGCCUGCCCGGUGCUGGAAGGUUAAGAGGAGCGCUUAGCGUAAGCGAAGGUGCGAAUUGAAGCCCCAGUAAACGGCGGCCGUAACUAUAACGGUCCUAAGGUAGCGAAAUUCCUUGUCGGGUAAGUUCCGACCCGCACGAAAGGCGCAACGAUCUGGGCACUGUCUCAACGAGAGACUCGGUGAAAUUAUAGUACCUGUGAAGAUGCAGGUUACCCGCGACAGGACGGAAAGACCCCGUGGAGCUUUACUGCAGCCUGAUAUUGAAUGUUGGUACAGCUUGUACAGGAUAGGUAGGAGCCUUGGAAACCGGAGCGCCAGCUUCGGUGGAGGCAUCGGUGGGAUACUACCCUGGCUGUAUUGACCUUCUAACCCGCCGCCCUUAUCGGGCGGGGAGACAGUGUCAGGUGGGCAGUUUGACUGGGGCGGUCGCCUCCUAAAAGGUAACGGAGGCGCCCAAAGGUUCCCUCAGAAUGGUUGGAAAUCAUUCGCAGAGUGUAAAGGCACAAGGGAGCUUGACUGCGAGACCUACAAGUCGAGCAGGGACGAAAGUCGGGCUUAGUGAUCCGGUGGUUCCGCAUGGAAGGGCCAUCGCUCAACGGAUAAAAGCUACCCCGGGGAUAACAGGCUUAUCUCCCCCAAGAGUCCACAUCGACGGGGAGGUUUGGCACCUCGAUGUCGGCUCAUCGCAUCCUGGGGCUGUAGUCGGUCCCAAGGGUUGGGCUGUUCGCCCAUUAAAGCGGUACGCGAGCUGGGUUCAGAACGUCGUGAGACAGUUCGGUCCCUAUCCGUCGCGGGCGCAGGAAAUUUGAGAGGAGCUGUCCUUAGUACGAGAGGACCGGGAUGGACGCACCGCUGGUGUACCAGUUGUUCUGCCAAGGGCAUCGCUGGGUAGCUAUGUGCGGACGGGAUAAGUGCUGAAAGCAUCUAAGCAUGAAGCCCCCCUCAAGAUGAGAUUUCCCAUUCCGCAAGGAAGUAAGAUCCCUGAAAGAUGAUCAGGUUGAUAGGUCUGAGGUGGAAGUGUGGCGACACAUGGAGCUGACAGAUACUAAUCGAUCGAGGACUUAACCAA